rnacentral:rRNA from 1 species
UACGUAGGGUGCAAGCGUUAAUAGGAAUUACUGGGCGUAAAGAGCUCGUAGGCGGUUUGUCGCGUCUGCCGUGAAAGUCCGGGGCUUAACCCCGGAUCUGCGGUGGGUACGGGCAGACUAGAGUGCAGUAGGGGAGACUGGAAUUCCUGGUGUAGCGGUGAAAUGCGCAGAUAUCAGGAGGAACACCGAUGGCGAAGGCAGGUCUCUGGGCUGUAACUGACGCUGAGGAGCGAAAGCAUGGGGAGCGAACAGG